CACUGUAAUACUGUCAGAGGUACUGCUUUACGGCAGUUUCUAAAGCACUUCCCUUUUCCCGCAACGAUAACACCAGCUGUUGGAGUCGGACCUUGAUGCUGUGACAACGGACAAGUCUUCUUCCUCUGUCCUUUUCCCCUGCCUCUGUUCAGUAUGUUCAGUGUUGUUAAAUCAUUUCUCUUUUUUUUUAUUAGUUACUGUUCUUAUUGUGUUCUUGUUAGUGUGAUGUUUGAAUAAACUUGCCUGUUGCAAUGUU